AUUGAACGCUGGCGGCAGGCCUAACACAUGCAAGUCGAACGGUAACAGGAAGCAGCUUGCUGCUUUGCUGACGAGUGGCGCACGGGUGAGUAAUGUCUGGGAAACUGCCCGAUGGAGGGGGAUAACUACUGGAAACGGUAGCUAAUACCGCAUAACGUCGCAAGACCAAAGAGGGGGACCUUAGGGCCUCUUGCCAUCGGAUGUGCCCAGAUGGGAUUAGCUAGUAGGUGGGGUAACGGCUCACCUAGGCGACGAUCCCUAGCUGGUCUGAGAGGAUGACCAGCCACACUGGAACUGAGACACGGUCCAGACUCCUACGGGAGGCAGCAGUGGGGAAUAUUGCACAAUGGGCGCAAGCCUGAUGCAGCCAUGCCGCGUGUAUGAAGAAGGCCUUCGGGUUGUAAAGUACUUUCAGCGGGGAGGAAGGGAGUAAAGUUAAUACCUUUGCUCAUUGACGUUACCCGCAGAAGAAGCACCGGCUAACUCCGUG
rnacentral:rRNA from 1 species